CAUAAGCAUAUCCAAUCAGGAUUCAUAACUUCCUCCUGAAGUUUAGUUAGCAAAAUGAUUUGGCAUCACUUCAUCUUGUGAAAUUAUGAAAUGAUACCAUAUCUUGCUGAACAUAUAAACCAAAACUACGAUAACAUCUUUUACUCAUAUAUAUGAGUUCUAGGCGGUUCAACAAAUUGAAUUUAUAUUCAUGCUCAUAUAUAAAUAUAUAAUCCUAAAGUUUAAGGUUGUGUACGAAUAUCGAAAAAAUAAUAUAAAUACAUAUUGCUGCUUAAAGUGUUUUUGCACCAUGUUUGAUGUGUUAUCAUCCCGAGUGGCUAAGUUGUAACAUCCAGGAUUCAAAGUAUAAUCUACUUUGUGUUCGAGCGAAGAAAUAAUAUCCUACUUGUAAAUAAUUAUGCACUUUUCUGUACUAAAAAGGUCUAUUUCGCAAGGGAAAAAAAACAAGACGCCGUCUGUGGGGAUCGAACCCACGGCCACGGGAUUAAAAGUCACGCGCUCUACCACUGAGCUAAGACGGCUCUGUGUAUCUAUGGUUGUCGUUAUUAAUAAACAACUUGAUUCUGUUUCUUUAAUGAAAUUCAAGAGAAGGCUUCUUUUUGGUCGGUGGCGUGGUGGGAAAGAAAGAGGAGGAAGACGACGAUGGGAGAGGGUUUAGGGUUUUACAAGGAAUACGUCGCCGGAAAGAUGGCUUUGUCUCGCCACAGUCGCCGUCGGCCACCCUUUCGAUACCAUCAAGGUAAAACUUCAGAAACAUAACACAGAUGUGCAAGGGCUCAGAUACAAAAACGGUCUGCAUUGUGCUUCAAGAAUCCUGAAUCUGAAGGAGUCAAAGGACUCUAUAGAGGAGCAGCAACAUUAGUAGUUUUUUGGAAUGGCCUUUGAAAGUUCAUUGAUGUUCGGAAUAUACUCCCAGGCUAAGCUCUUCCUGCGGGUAUAAAUCGCAGACCAGCUGAUCUUUUCACUGAAUUCUUUUAUUUUCUUUUUGCAUCUUCCAGAUUUUAUUUUUUGCAUUGUUUUAUUAAGGUAACUUGACGAGAUGAUGGGCCACGGACUAGAAACCAUUGUCCCAUCUGCUAUGUUUGGUGGAGCUGUUAUUAGCUUUGUAUCAUGUCCAACAGAGCUAGUUAAUGUGAAACCUCUGUUUUUGUAACAUGUUUUAGUUAAUAUCUUUGAUGGUUUCCUUGGGAGUUUUAGGACAUUUGUUUUCUACAGUGUAGAAUGCAGAUCCAAGGCACAUAUUCUUUACCUCCCCACUUUCUGUAGAUACAACAGUCCUCUUUGAUUGUCAUUGCUAAGAGGGCUAUACAUCGAAUCAAGCAUUUAGGUUUGAUGGGGAUGUCUUUCAGGUAACAGGUAUAUUUCGCGGUGGUUCAGCAGCAUUGUUAGCGGAAUAUAGUGUGCUGAAAAUCCACUCGAGAUUAGAGUGUUCUAAGCUGAUUACAUGGUUACUUUGGUUGACAUGGGGAUAGUAGUUCUCACCGGUGGUCUUGGAGGCAUAGCUAUUCACAAGAGGGCUGGACUUAAGGGAUGCUAUGCAGGUUUGCGUCUAACCAUAUUGAGAGCAUUCCCUCCUGCUAAUGCAGCAUCAAUCGUUGCUUGGGAGUUCUUAUUGGGAAUCAAACCUGAC